AUGAGUGGCGAACGGGUGAGUAACACGUGGGUAAUCUGCCCUGUACUCUGGGAUAAGCCCGGGAAACUGGGUCUAAUACCGGAUAGGACAUGCUCCCGCAUGGGGGUGUGUGGAAAGUUCCGGCGGUAUGGGAUGAGCCCGCGGCCUAUCAGUUUGUUGGUGGGGUGAUGGCCUACCAAGGCGACGACGGGUAGCCGGCCUGAGAGGGUGACCGGCCACACUGGGACUGAGACACGGCCCAG
rnacentral:rRNA from 1 species